rnacentral:rRNA from 1 species
GAGUUUGAUCUUGGCUCGGAUUGAACGCUGGCGGCAGGCCUAACACAUGCAAGUCGGGCGGUAGAGAGAAGCUUGCUUCUCUUGAGAGCGGCGGACGGGUGAGUAAUGCCUAGGAAUCUGCCUGGUAGUGGGGGAUAACGCUCGGAAACGGACGCUAAUACCGCAUGCGUCCUACGGGAGAAAGCAGGGGACCUUCGGGCCUUGCGCUAUCAGAUGAGCCUAGGUCGGAUUAGCUAGUUGGUGAGGUAAUGGCUCACCAAGGCGACGAUCCGUAACUGGUCUGAGAGGAUGAUCAGUCACACUGGAACUGAGGCACGGUCCAGACUCCUACGGGAGGCAGCAGUGGGGAAUAUUGGACAAUGGGCGAAAGCCUGAUCCAGCCAUGCCGCGUGUGUGAAGAAGGUCUUCGGAUUGUAAAGCACUUUAAGUUGGGAGAAGGGCAGUAAAUUAAUACUUUGCUGUUUUGACGUUACCGACAGAAUAAGCACCGGCUAACUCUGUGCCAGCAG